GAUGAACGCUGGCGGCGUGCCUAAUACAUGCAAGUCGAGCGAACAGACGCGGCGCUUGCUCCUCUGACGUUUGCGGCGGACGGGAGAGAAACACGUGUAUCAUCCACUUAUAAUACUGGGAUAACCUCGGGAAACCGGCGCAAAUACCGGAGAAUCUCUCGAACCGCAUGGUUCAUUAGUGAAAGACGGUUUUGCUGUCUCUUAUAGAUGGUUCCCGGCCGGUUUAGCUAGUUGGGAAGGUCAAGGCUUACCAAGGCAACUAUGCGUAACCGACCUGCGAGGGGGAUAGGCGACACUGGAGCGUGGACACGGUCCAUGCGCCUACGGGAGGCAGCAGUAGGGAAUGUUCCGCAACAGUCGGAAGCCUGACGGAGCAACGCCGCGUGAGAGAUGAAGGUCUUCGGAUCGUAAAACUCUGUUAUGAGUUAAGAACAAAUGUGGAAGUAACUGUGCACUGCUUGACGGUACCUAAUCAGAAAGCCACGGCUAACUACGUG
rnacentral:rRNA from 1 species